rnacentral:snRNA from 1 species
AGAGAUGCACGGCCUGCGUGAUUUGCCUGCAGGGUCUGGGGCUCUGAGUAAAUUGGAUGCUUAUCUUGCUGGGAUCCUCGCUCUGAUAUGUCCUCCAUCGGAGGUCUAUAUUGAGCAGAUUCUUUUUGGUAUUGGGUGGUGGAACCGGAGCGUGCUCCAUCCACUCCAUGCAUUGACCUGGUAUUGCAGUGCUUCCAGGACCGGUGCAAAAAAA